AGUCUAUAUGCUCCUUAUAGAGGUCCAAGGGGUUAAAUAACCUGGGUUGUAAAGUCAACUGUCUAUAUGCUCCUUAUAGAGGUCCAAGGGGUUAAAUAACCUGGGUUGUAAAGUCAACUGUCUAUAUGCUCCUUAUAGAGGUCCAAGGGGUUAAAUAACCUGGGUUGUAAAGUCAACAGUCUAUAUGCUCCUUAUAGAGGUCCAAGGGGUUAAAUAACCUGGGUUGUAAAGUCAACUGUCUAUAUGCUCCUUAUAGAGGUCCAAGGGGUUAAAUAACCUGGGUUGUAAAGUCCAGUCUAUAUGCUCCUUAUAGAGGUCCAAGGGGUUAAAUAACCUGGGUUGUAAAGUCAACUGUCUAUAUGCUCCUUAUAGAGGUCCAAGGGGUUAAAUAACCUGGGUUGUAAAGUCAACAGUCUAUAUGCUCCUUAUAGAGGUCCAAGGGGUUAAAUAACCUGGGUUGUAAAGUCAACUGUCUAUAUGCUCCUUAUAGAGGUCCAAGGGGUUAAAUAACCUGGGUUGUAAAGUCAACUGUCUAUAUGCUCCUUAUAGAGGUCCAAGGGGUUAAAUAACCUGGGUUGUAAUGUCAACAGUCUAUAUGCUCCUUAUAGAGGUCCUAGGGGUUAAAUAACCUGGGUUGUAAAGUCAGCAGUCUAUAUGCUCCUUAUAGAGGUCCAAGGGGUUAAAUAACCUGGGUUGUAAUGUCAACAGUCUAUAUGCUCCUUAUAGAGGUCCAAGGGGUUAAAUAACCUGGGUUGUAAAGUCAACUGUCUAUAUGCUCCUUAUAGAGGUCCAAGGGGUUAAAUAACCUGGGUUGUAAAGUCAACAGUCUAUAUGCUCCUUAUAGAGG